AAUCCAGAGAUGGAUUUGUGCCUUCGGGAACUGUGAGACAGGUGCUGCAUGGCUGUCGUCAGCUCGUGUUGUGAAAUGUUGGGUUAAGUCCCGCAACGAGCGCAACCCUUAUCCUUUGUUGCCAGCGGUCCGGCCGGGAACUCAAAGGAGACUGCCAGUGAUAAACUGGAGGAAGGUGGGGAUGACGUCAAGUCAUCAUGGCCCUUACGACCAGGGCUACACACGUGCUACAAUGGCGCAUACAAAGAGAAGCGACCUCGCGAGAGCAAGCGGACCUCAUAAAGUGCGUCGUAGUCCGGAUUGGAGUCUGCAACUCGACUCCAUGAAGUCGGAAUCGCUAGUAAUCGUGGAUCAGAAUGCCACGGUGAAUACGUUCCCGGGCCUUGUACACACCGCCCGUCACACCAUGGGAGUGGGUUGCAAAAGAAGUAGGUAGCUUAACCUUCGGGAGGGCGCUUACCACUUUGUGAUUCAUGACUGGGGUGAAGUCGUAACAAGGUAACCGUAGGGGAACCUGCGGUUGGAUCACCUCCUUA
rnacentral:rRNA from 2 species